rnacentral:rRNA from 1 species
AGUGNGGAAUNUUGCGCAAUGGGCGAAAGCCUGACGCAGCGACGCCGCGUGGAGGAUGAAGGCCUUCGGAUUGUAAACUCCUGUCGAGUGGGACGAAUGCCGUGAGGGUUAAUACCCCUUGCGGUUGACGGUACCNCUGAAGGAAGCCCCGGCUAACUCCGUGCCAGCAGCCGCGGUAAUACGGAGGGGGCUAGCGUUGUUCGGAAUCAUUGGGCGUAAAGGGCGCGUAGGCGGCNNAUCAAGUCGGAUGUGAAAUCCCUCGGCUCAACUNAGGAAUUGCCUUCGAUACUGUUCGGCUUGAGUCCUGGAGAGGGUAGCGGAAUUCCCGGUGUAGCGGUGAAAUGCGUAGAUACCGGGAAGAACACCAGUGGCGAAGGCGGCUACCUGGACAGGUACUGACGCUGAAGCGCGAAAGCUAGGGGAGCAAACAGGAUUAGAUACCCUGGUAGUCCUAGCUGUAAACGAUGGGCACUUGGUGUUGCGGGUAUUGACCCCUGCAGUGCCGAAGCUAACGCAUUAAGUGCCCCGCCUGGGGAGUACGGUCGCAAGGCUUA